GGGGUGUUAGCUCAGCUGGGAGAGCACCUGCUUUGCACGCAGGGGGUCAUCGGUUCGAUCCCGAUACGCUCCACCA
rnacentral:tRNA from 13 species